AUUGAACGCUGGCGGCAGGCCUAACACAUGCAAGUCGAGCGGAUGAAGGGAGCUUGCUCCUGGAUUCAGCGGCGGACGGGUGAGUAAUGCCUAGGAAUCUGCCUGGUAGGGGGGGAUAACGUCCGGAAACGGGCGCUAAUACCGCAUACGUCCUGAGGGAGAAAGUGGGGGAUGUUCGGACCUCACGCUAUCAGAUGAGCCUCGGUCGGAUUAGCUAGUUGGUGGGGUAAAGGCCUACCAAGGAGACGAUCCGUAACUGGUCUGAGAGGAUGAUCAGUCACACUGGAACUGAGACACGCUCCAGACUCCUACGGGAGGGCGCAGUGGGGAAUAUUGGACAGUGGGCGAAAGCAUUAUCCAACCAUGCCGCGUGUGUGACGAAGGUCUUCGGAUUGUAAAGCACUUUAAGUUGGGAGGAAGGGCAGUAAGUUAAUACCUUGCUGUUUUGACGUUACCAACAGAAUAAGCACCGGCUAACUUCGUG
rnacentral:rRNA from 1 species